AUCAUACCGCGUGUGUGAAGAAGGCCUGAGGGUUGUAAAGCACUUUCAAUAGGAGGGAAUACCUAUCGGUUAAUACCNCGGUAGACUGACAUUACCUAUACAAGAAGCACCGGCUAACUCCGUGCCAGCAGCCGCGGUAAUACGGAGGGUGCAAGCGUUAAUCGGAAUUACUGGGCGUAAAGCGUGCGUAGGCGGUUAUUUAAGUCAGAUGUGAAAGCCCUGGGCUUAACCUGGGAACUGCAUUUGAUACUGGAUGACUAGAGUUGAGUAGAGGAGAGUGGAAUUUCAGGUGUAGCGGUGAAAUGCGUAGAGAUCUGAAGGAACACCAGUGGCGAAGGCGGCUCUCUGGACUCAAACUGACGCUGAGGUACGAAAGCGUGGGUAGCAAACAGGAUUAGAUACCCUGGUAGUCCACGCCGUAAACGAUGUCAACUAACCGUUGGGUUCUUUAAGAACUUAGUGGUGGAGCUAACGUAUUAAGUUGACCGCCUGGGGAGUACGGCCGCAAGGCUAAAACUCAAAUGAAUUGACGGGGGCCCGCACAAGCGGUGGAGCAUGUGGUUUA
rnacentral:rRNA from 1 species